GACGAACGCUGGCGGCGUGCUUAACACAUGCAAGUCGAACGGAAAGGCCCUGCUUUUGUGGGGUGCUCGAGUGGCGAACGGGUGAGUAACACGUGAGUAACCUGCCCUUGACUUUGGGAUAACUUCAGGAAACUGGGGCUAAUACCGGAUAGGAGCUCCUGCUGCAUGGUGGGGGUUGGAAAGUUUCGGCGGUUGGGGAUGGACUCGCGGCUUAUCAGCUUGUUGGUGGGGUAGUGGCUUACCAAGGCUUUGACGGGUAGCCGGCCUGAGAGGGUGACAGGCCACAUUGGGACUGAGAUACGGCCCAGACUCCUACGGGAGGCAGCAGUGGGGAAUAUUGCACAAUGGGCGGAAGCCUGAUGCAGCAACGCAGCGUGCGGGAUGACGGCCUUCGGGUUGUAAACCGCUUUCGCCUGUGACGAAGCGUGAGUGACGGUAAUGGGUAAAGAAGCACCGGCUAACUACGUG
rnacentral:rRNA from 1 species